rfam:Apaloderma vittatum contig38697, whole genome shotgun sequence.
GGACUUAGCUCAGUCGGUCAGAGCACGAUGUUGAUAACACCAAGGUUGCAGGUUCGAUCCCCGUUCGGUCCC